AUAAAGUAUAUGUAUUCUUGAUCAGGAUCAAUAGCCGAAUCGAUCUGGCCAUGUCUGUGGGCGUGUCAAUUUAUUGGCUGUUUGUGGGCGUGGCGAAAAAAUGUUCGAUUCGAUAGAUUUGUAUGUCUAAUAAAAAAAUUAUAAAAUAACAUAGUUUUGGGCGGUAAAGUGAGCGUGACAACCAUCGUUACUAGAAUCUGCAUGCUUAGUGUCAACUUUGGACAUUGGGAUUGAUUGCGAGCGUUGGAGUUUGCAUGGCAACGAUCUGAAACAAACUUAAGCUGCGUUUACCUAUUGAGAUUCUGCAUGCCUAAUCGCAGCAUUCUUUAAAAGUUCCGAAAACACAGAUUUCGGACAUGGAAAAAAUGAACAGACUUAUGGUCUUAAUCACGUUACAUACAUGUUAAGGAAUUAAGUAGAACAUUAUAAAUACAUACGUAUUAUGACUGGCUGGCUAUUUCUACCAGACUGCUAUGACACAUUCUACUUGACCAUUUGAGGUGCUAUGUAGAGGUUGGAAAUGGUGAUAUUGAAAUGAUUUUGUAGAAUUGUUUUAAUAAUUUCUUGGUUUUUGUUUUUGGAAAUAAAUUGAUUAUGUGUAAAAAAGGGAA